GACGUAGGGCGCGAGCGUUGUCCGGAUUUAUUGGGCGUAAAGAGCUCGUAGGCGGCUUGUCGCGUCGACUGUGAAAUCCCGCGGCUCAACUGCGGGUCUGCAGUCGAUACGGGCAGGCUAGAGUUCGGUAGGGGAGAAUGGAAUUCCCGGUGUAGCGGUGAAAUGCGCAGAUAUCGGGAGGAACACCGGUGGCGAAGGCGGUUCUCUGGGCCCUACCUGACGCUGAGGAGCGAAAGCGUGGGGAGCGAACAGG
rnacentral:rRNA from 1 species